ensembl:lncRNA LINC02113 long intergenic non-protein coding RNA 2113
CCCCGCAAAACUGCAGCACAAAAGAAUUUCAGAUCCACCCACUCAGAAGUCUGAAGCCAGUGUGGCUCGCCCUCACUGAUCUCAGGGUCUGCAUUUGCAAUGUACCAAGACAGACCUGAUCAUAAAACCAAUAACAAAGAAUGUCAGAAGUCUUUUACAUGGAAGAAGAAAAAAAUGCGAGCAAGAAGGCCUAAGAAAGGAGAGGUUUCAAUAGACGGUACACUCGGUUGUUCCCUUAGACCACCUUUGUUAGUCUUCGCCUCAAAGAAAAACAUUUCCACUGAAAACCACAUAAUCUGGUUUAACAGAUUAAAUAUAUAAACUAUGAUGUGCUGG